rnacentral:rRNA from 1 species
UUAAAGUCUAACCUGCCCACUGAAAUUUUUAAAUGGCCGCAGUAUUCUAACUGUGCAAAGGUAGCAUAAUCAUUAGUCUUUUAAUUGAAGGCUGGAAUGAAUGGUUGGACGAAAUAUUAACUGUUUCAUUUAAAUUUUUUAUAGAAUUUUAUUUUUUAGUCAAAAAGCUAAAAUUAAUUUAAAAGACGAGAAGACCCUAUAAAUCUUUAUAUUUUGUUUAUUUUAGUUAUAAAGAUUAUUUUUGUUAUAAUAAAUUAAAAUAUUUUAUUGGGGUGAUAUUAAAAUUUAAAAAACUUUUAAUUUUUAAAACCAUUAAUUUAUGAAUAAUUGAUCCAUUAAUAAUGAUUAAAAAUUUAAGUUACUUUAGGGAUAACAGCGUAAUUUUUUUGGAGAGUUCUUAUCGAUAAAAAAGAUUGCGACCUCGAUGUUGGAUUAAGAUAUAAUUUUGGGUGUAGCCGUUCAAAUUUUAAGUCUGUUCGACUUUUAAAUUCUUACAUGAUCUGAGUUCAAACCGGCGUAAGCCAGGUUGGUUUCUAUCUUUAAAAAAUUAUAAUAUUUUAGUACGAAAGGACCAAAUAUUAGAAUAAUUAUAUUUUUGGUAAGAAUAUUAUUAAUUUUA